GGAGAGGUGUCCGAGCGGCUGAAGGAACGCGACUGGAAAUCGCGUGUGGGCGAUGAGUCCACCGAGGGUUCGAAUCCCUCUCUCUCCG
rnacentral:tRNA from 1 species